CAGUUUUAGAAAAGCAUUUAUUUGAAAAGGAUGACUAAAUCAUAACAUUUGGUUCAAUGAAAGCAUGCCAAAGUAAUGCAUGCUCUUGAAUUCAAAGGUGAACAAUGAAUUUAGGCAAUUAAAUAAUGAUAAAGACAAUAAUAUGACUAAACAGGUGUGACAAUCAAAGCAAUACUCUUUUAUACAUUACCAAAACUUUUUAUCACCACACACGCAUGGAGGAAAGAACAAUCACACAGGGAGUGGUGCUAUACAAGAACAUUGAGAACAUUAAAAAGCCACAAAUGUCAUUCUAAAGGUCUGAACAAGUAACAGUGGUUUGUCAAAUACUGGAAAUAUAAAUAGUAAUCAAUGUGAGAAUCUUGCAAUAUGUGAAUUAAAAAACAGAGCUAAUGCCUUAAAUACUUUAGUAUUCAUCCUUGUGACUUCAAACUUGCAUAAGAUUCAGAUAUUUGAUGCUGCACGACAGAGAGGGCUACAUUUCUGUGCAAGUGCUAUAAUAGGGGCAGCUUGACAGGACAUAUUAAAAUACAAAUGCUAACCUAACAAACCACAGUCAGAUUGUAAUAAUUCUGUGAUCAUAUACAGACAGAGUAACACAUUGAGCCAUAUGAUCAGCAAGACAAAUGGUGGCAUUCGAUAAAGUAAACAUGACCGAUUGAUAUAAGAAACUGAUUCUGUAUGUGUUGUAUCUGAUCCCUAAACAAAAAAAUAAAAACUGCAAAGGCUUUGCAGAAAAAUAUAUAAAAUCCUAUUUUUGGUUGUUGAAGAAGAAGAAAAAACAACAACAUUUAAGCAGUAAAGUGCUAACUUGUUAUACCAAUAAAACAUUACCCCUGAGUAUUUAAAAUGACACUGGGCACCAUAACUUCGUCAUUAGGAAUUACACACGGAACAGGUGUAUAUUUUUAUUGUGUGUGCACCCCACUCAUCUAUUAUAGGUGCCCCUUUGGAAGUGACCACAGGAAUUUGAGGAGAGCCUCUGGAAGUGGUUUAACCUUCCUGACGGUCUGAUUAUGUCAGUUUUUUUUUUUAUGUUAAAAGCGGUACAUUGUUUUUACAAAGUAUUGUGUGUAUUUUUUUAAUUAUUAUUUAUUUUAUUUUUUUACACCAAGGGCUCGUAGGAACAAAGUAAGUGAUACUACAGUGUAAUCCCGAACGUGGCUCAGGGUUACUGCUUUUGGAAAAUUAACCCUGAGCCACGCUUGGGAUUACCGCCAGAGAGGUUAAGCAGUAAGUAUAGCAGUUAGCAUGUUUGUUUCCUAUGUUACAAUUUGUGUAAGUCUCACCAAUAAUGGAGUACUGUGACGUUACCACCAUUCAAGAGGACAUCAGCCUGUGAGGAUUCUUUUCGUAAGAAUGCAAAUGCACCGCGCACCAGUGACAAUGUGGGGAAAUCUUGAUCCCUUCUUCAGAAAGUGUUUAAAGGAACUAGGACUCUUCAUACUUUUACAUAGGAUGCGGUCUUAAAGGGACAUUUUAGGUAUAUAAAAGGCAGGCAUGUAUUUGUUCGAGCAUAAAACAAAAUUUUAAAAAAAAGUGAAAACCAGUGUUCUACCCUACAGAGCACCCCCCCUCCCCUGAAACUCCAACCCCCCUGACUGAAAGGGAUCAAAACCCUUUUGUCACUUACCUGAUUCCAGCACUAAUGUCCCUUGGCACUGGAUGAGGAUCCGCCUCUGUUGAGCAUGGCAAUCGCAUUUGGACUACCCCAUAGGAAAGCAUUGCUUCAGUGUAUUCCUUUGGGGUUUUAGAUGAUACUGGAAGUCCUCAUGUAAAGAGUGAGGACGUCCAGAUUCAUUUAGCAGACCAAACGUUUACUAAAGACCCAGAAGAGCCUCUAGUGGCUGUCUUGGAACUGCCACUAGAGGUAGAGUUAACCCAGCAAAGUAAUUAUUGCAUUUUAUCAUGGGUUAAGGGGACAGGGGCACUGCACCCAGACCACUUCAAUGACAUGAAGUGGUCUGGGUGCUUAUAGUGUCCCUCUCACCAACAAGAUCACUAAUUAAAAUUAUUAAACAGCAAUGUGUGCUGUACAUCUCAAAAGAAAACAGCUUUACUUCACCUUUCCUAACCCUUUAGUGUCUAAAUACGUAGUGUCUCCAUUUAGCUCACACAUGCACUUAAAGGGACACUAUAGUCAACGGCACACCCAUGGUCUAUAAAAUUCCUAAGGAAAAUGCAUUCAAAAUUUUUUUUUAAAAUGACAAAGAUUACAAAUUUAACCCUCACAUUUGGCAGAGUUAAUAAAAAGGUUAAAUGAAAAGUGUCAAAAUACUCUGAGUAAACACCGUGGAAGAUCUACUUCCUAAAAAAAUAUAUACUUUUGUUUAGUGAUUUGUGACCACUAUUAAAGUUUCAGACUCCGCAGACAAUUCAUAAAUCACUUGUUGCAAUUUUUGUCUA